rnacentral:lncRNA from 1 species
CCAAUAUAAAAACCAAGCCAAGCAUAUUAUAGAAAUUAAACAAAGAAAUGAUAAAAGACAUCACCAAAAAUCGACUAAACGUGAUAAAUUCAUCAAUUAAAGAUGCCUUUUUCUUUCCUUUCUGUGCGCAUAUAAUAUUGGCUGCCUCUUUCUUCUUCAAUCCUCUUUAAAGCUGCUACAUUUAAUCUUCUGCGUCUCUAUAGGCGUGUAUGUAUAUAUGUAGCAAAUAGCCCCUUUUUUCACUCCCACAGCCGCCAUUUUGACUCCAAUUUUGUAAUAUUUCAAUUCUUCUCCACCCACCUGCUUUUCUGCCUCAAAUUCCUCAAUGUUCAUAAUCCAAUUUCUCCCCAGCCGGCUCUCAAAUUUUCUUCUUUUGCGUAAUCUGAUAAUCCUAGUGUAAUGCAUUAAUUUAAAGAAAAAAAAAAGGUCAAGUCAAAGAUGUCAAGCUUUAAAAAAAAUAAAAAAAUGGCCAAAACAGUGAGGCAGUGAAUUGGAUUAUAUCAAUCCAAUUCACAUUAAACAAACCCAUUAUCUUUAAAAAAAGAAAAAAAAAAAGACACAAUACACCCAACAAG